AUGGGGCAAAUGAUGAAUCUUAUUAUAUCGUAAAUGGGUAAUUUGCGUCUGAAUUUUUCAUUGAUGCUAUCACCUUGGAGAACUGAUGCCCUUA
rnacentral:snoRNA from 1 species